rnacentral:rRNA from 1 species
CCGCAACGAGCGCAACCCUUAUCCUUUGUUGCCAGCGAUUAGGUCGGGAACUCAAAGGAGACUGCCAGUGAUAAACUGGAGGAAGGUGGGGAUGACGUCAAGUCAUCAUGGCCCUUACGACCAGGGCUACACACGUGCUACAAUGGCGCAUACAAAGAGAAGCGACCUCGCGAGAGCAAGCGGACCUCAUAAAGUGCGUCGUAGUCCGGAUUGGAGUCUGCAACUCGACUCCAUGAAGUCGGAAUCGCUAGUAAUCGUGGAUCAGAAUGCCACGGUGAAUACGUUCCCGGGCCUUGUACACACCGCCCGUCACACCAUGGGAGUGGGUUGCAAAAGAAGUAGGUAGCUUAACCUUCGGGAGGGCGCUUACCACUUUGUGAUUCAUGACUGGGGUGAAGUCGUAACAAGGUAACCGUAGGGGAACCUGCGGUUGGAUCACCUCCUUACCUUAAAGAAGC